GUUCCCAGGGUGUAUUUCGUGCGACUUGCGCUCUCAACAGGAGGGCUUGGUCAAAACACAGGAGGGCUUGGUCAAAAUACCUAGAACUCGAUCCACUUUUCCCCAUCGAGAUACUCCUCCCACUCCCCCGUCCAGCGCCGCCACCUCCCCCGUCCAGCGCCGCCACUUCCCCCGUACCGGCCGUCCAGUUCCGAUCGGCCGCCCCCCCUAGCCGUCGAGCGCCGCCCACAUCGCCGUCGAGCGCCAUCCCCCUCGUCGUCGAGCGCCACCCCAACUCGCCGGCGACGUCCAGAUCCGCCUCCCUGGCCGGCGAUUUCCAGAUCCGCCUCCCUCCCCGUGCAGAGUGGCUCAUUAUCAUUUAUUCAGACCAAAAGCGUGUUGGUAAGUUGCAUUCAGUUUCAUUUGACCUCCCAGUAUGGGUAGUUUGUUGAAAAAACAUGUUCCCUUAUGUAGGGAAAGAUGUAUGGCCCUGCAGAAUGAGUUAGAAAUUAUGCUUCUAUAUAAUGUGGUGGAUUAUGGAUCACUAAUGUAAUUUGUGUUCUCAGAUAUUUCUUUUUGGAGGUCAAGUAUGGAUUAUGGAUUAUGGAUUACUAAUGUAAUUUGUGGUGGAUUAGGGAAAGAUAUAUUGCUAUCCCUAACCACCUGAGAACAGAAUAGAAGAUGUCUUUCAUGUAUAUUUUGACUAACCACCUGAGAAUGAUUAUUUGUUCUCGUACAUGUUUUCUUUCCUUGUAGAUAAUUGAUAGAACAUUUAUUCAUUUAGCAUUUAGAGCCUUUUUGCAGCACAAUUUAAACUUUUACCUCCUCUCCAAUGACGACGCUGCUCUUCCCCAACGACAGCUUGCUGCUGAACUCUGUCAACACCUGCUGCUAAUCGUCUCUUGCAUCUACAUGUUCCUGUUCUUCUCCAUCUUCAAAGCCACGUCUUAGACUGCUGCAACACCAAGCUCCAGAAGCCAAAUUUAUGUUCUGUACUCCAUUAUCUCACCUCUUCCCUCGCUGAUUUCUUGAACCCCUUGCUUGUUCAGUUAGUGUGAUGUCUGUUCCUUUAUGCUUCCAAUUGAGAUGAUCUAGUUCUAGUUUUAUCACCUUAGUAUUUCAAUUAUUUGCUCCUUUGCAAGACUGAAGAUCCGAUGCUCUGUUAGAUUUAAAUUUCUUGUUCAACUUAAGAGAAAAUGUUAGUGUCCUGUUGAUUGUGUUCCAGCAUGAACUCGUUCCGAACCUCACCUACUGCCGUUUUAUUCUAUAUCGAGUUUUGUCCAAGUUUUGAGUGUUGGUUGUUUGUUAGAAGAGCAUCUUCUCUUAUGUAGGAAAAGAAGAAUGGCCUAUGGCAGCAACAAAGAUGAACACUUGCAAGUUCAUGAAGUUGGAAGUUUGCAAAUGUGGUUGAGAGUGGAGAUUGUGGCCCCAUCAAUAAUAUAAUGUUCAAAAGUGUCUUCUUCUGAGUAGAAAUCGUUGUAGAUACUUGGGGCCACCAUUCUCCUCACCAGACCCUUGGGUGGGCGAAGGCCCUCAAGCACCUCCACUUGAACUUCUGGUGAAUGGAACCUUCCAAGCCCACGUGAAUGCUGAUACUCCGUUGGCAGAAUGUUCCCAUGAUGAAGACAAUCCUCAUGCUACUCAUGCGGAUGAGCAUAGUUCUAUUCCAACACAGGACAAACAUUUAGGAAUUCCAGUAGUAUAGCUAGUUAAUAUUGUGAACUGCAGUGCAGUUAGGCUUUCUUUGUCAAUUGCUUCUCCUGGCAAUUUAGGAAUCAACUAGUAUGCGUGUUUUGGACUUGGUGACACCUCCUGUUAAGUCAAGCUUCCAUGAAUCAUGACUUGGAUAUGAAUGUGUGGAUCUUGUGAACAAUGAGAUUUAAAUAAAUUGGAUGGGUACAUUGUGACCUAGGAA